rnacentral:siRNA from 1 species
CCAGUCACUAGGUGGAGGCGAAG